UACGUAGGUGGCAAGCGUUGUCCGGAAUUAUUGGGCGUAAAGCGCGCGCAGGUGGUUUCUUAAGUCUGAUGUGAAAGCCCACGGCUCAACCGUGGAGGGUCAUUGGAAACUGGGGAACUUGAGUGCAGAAGAGGAAAGUGGAAUUCCAAGUGUAGCGGUGAAAUGCGUAGAGAUUUGGAGGAACACCAGUGGCGAAGGCGGGCGCCCUGGCUCGCAACUGACGCUCAGACACGAC
rnacentral:rRNA from 1 species